CCCCUGUGGACAGCUGUGCUAUUUGCCUGCUUUGUUUUUUUCUCUCUCUUACCUCUUAUUUCCCUGUUCUCUCCACCAAUGCAUUCAGAUCCCCGGGAUGGAGUGCGCUGAUACUGCUGCGUUCUUCCUGCACCAACUGUCCGGGCGGCUCAGCAUGUUCUACAGAACAGCAUGCCUUUGGGAAUGCUUGGAGUAUGUAGCCUGACAGCAAGAGAACACUGCGCUCUUCUGGCUAUUUCUCAACAUGUCAGAGGGACAGGAGUGUGCUCAGCCUUGUGUGGUUGCACGUAUGCAAAAAUCCCUAUCGCAGCUGUAAACAUCUUUGUUGUUCUGCUUUACAGCAGUAGUGUGUGACGAGAAGCCUACCACUAUCAAUUUAGAGGAGUGCACGGAAGCUUUUGGGCAUGAUUUAUCCUCACUAUACCUCACACUGGGUGGGAAAAGUUGGCACUGGAUCUCACAUAGCAGCUUGUAACAAAGCUCUUGCGCAAUAAAGAAGCAUUUCAACCGCUGCUUCUUGCAGCAGUACAGUGUUUCCAAAGAGAGAAAAACACCACUACUGGCAUAAACUGGAUUUCUGCUGUUGGUUGAGCAUGUGCAGUGGAAUUGCCAGGUCACAGCCUGAGCCAGUACGUGAGCACAUGAGUGCCUGGAGCUGGGGGAGCCUAGAUCCACCCUUCCUCUUUCUCCGUCCCCGCAGUGCUUCUGGGAGCGCAGUCAGUCCGCAGGGGUCUCCUCAGCCCCCUCCCCGCGCCCCCCCAGGCCCGUCCCCCCCUUCUUCCAGCGAUCCAGAUUUCAAAGCGGAGAAGGCUGUGUUCCUCAGCUCACCCCUUUCUUCCAAACUCUCGCUCGGAGGGGUGAGUUGAUUGCUCUUUCUUUGAUAGCUUGUCCUAUAGUGCCUAGAUCUCAGAGAAAGGCUCUGUCAUUGCCCUUGUUUGCUUUACAGCAUGUCAGAGGUCGGUCAUUGCUAGGAAAGCUUGUGCUUUAAAGCACCAGGUUGUAUAGAGAAGGUAAUUCUAAAAGCGAGCUUGCCAGUUCUUUUUUACCUAAGUGGUUUUUGAGCAAGGAAAGAUUGGAGAUGCUGUUUGCUCAUGGAAGAUGGAGAGGAGGAAAAGCAAGUAAGACGCAUGCUGUGCAUAGCCACUGCAUGCACCAUUUCCCCCCUGAACAAAGGAGGAGCAGCUCAGCAAGCUUGGCAUCUCAGCAAGCUUGGUAACCCCCUUGGGGGGAGGGGCUCCCCUAACUGUUUCUCUUCAGCUGUCAUGGCAGGUAAGGCAGCAGGCUUCCCGUGCUCCGAUGCCACAGAGUUGCAUGGGGGAGCAGCACCAGGACAGGGAAAGGAACCCUUGCGGCCCCAGCCACACUGUCCUGCACACUCCUGUGCAAGGGUUGGGUUAUGGGGAUAUGGAUACAGUAAGACUGUGGGAUGGGUUUGGGAUGGGAUAUGGAUAUUGGAUGGAAAUGGGGAUAUGGAGAUAUGGAAUUGGUUUGGAAUGAUAAUGGGAUUGAAUAAGUGUAGGGAGUGGAUACGGGGUGGGACAUGAAUAUUGGCAUGGAUGUGGGCUGUGGGAUGGGCCAUGGAUUUGAGGUGGGUCAAGGACUCGGGCACCCCACCACUACAGCGCUGCUUCCAGCAUCCAGGCUGUACCCUCCCAGCCCCUCCAGCGCUACUCCCCGUCCCCUCCCAGACCCAUCAUGACCCGCAGACCCCUUUGCUACUGGGGGCUCUGGGGAAGAUACAGGGGGAAUAUGAGGUUAUAGGGCACUGAGGGGGCUUUGGGGAGGGAUAUGAUUAUUUACGGGGCUGGGGGGGAGCUAUAGGAGUGGAUAUAUGGGGUUAUCGGGCUAGAGGGGGCUGGGAUGUGUCUAUAGGAAGGAUAA